rfam:Tetrasphaera japonica T1-X7 genomic scaffold, 1540_scaffold1
CGGCAUACGUCCGACCUAGGCUCGCAGAAGCGUCACAGAACCGGGAAGUCGGUGCGACUCCGACACGGUCCUCGCCACUGUGACCGGGGAGCCGACGCCCGACAACCGCCACUGGGUCCGAGUCAUCCAAGACCUGGGAAGGCAGGGCCGAGGUGGUGAUCCGGGAGUCAGGAGACCGACUGUGGCGUCCGAUGGUUC